GGAGGAGCUUGCUUCUCCGGAUGAGUUGCGAACGGGUGAGUAACGCGUAGGUAACCUGCCUGGUAGUGGGGGAUAACUAUUGGAAACGAUAGCUAAUACCGCAUAAGAGUAGAUGUUGCAUGACAUUUGCUUAAAAGGUGCAAUUGCAUCACUACCAGAUGGACCUGCGUUGUAUUAGCUAGUUGGUGGGGUAAGGGCUCACCAAGGCGACGAUACAUAGCCGACCUGAGAGGGUGAUCGGCCACACUGGGACUGAGACACGGCCCAGACUCCUACGGGAGGCAGCAGUAGGGAAUCUUCGGCAAUGGACGGAAGUCUGACCGAGCAACGCCGCGUGAGUGAAGAAGGUUUUCGGAUCGUAAAGCUCUGUUGUAAGAGAAGAACAAGUGUGAGAGUGGAAAGUUCACACUGUGACGGUAUCUUACCAGAAAGGGACGGCUAACUACGUGCCAGCAGCCGCGGUAAUACGUAGGUCCCGAGCGUUGUCCGGAUUUAUUGGGCGUAAAGCGAGCGCAGGCGGUUAGAUAAGUCUGAAGUUAAAGGCUGUGGCUUAACCAUAGUACGCUUUGGAAACUGUUUAACUUGAGUGCAAGAGGGGAGAGUGGAAUUCCAUGUGUAGCGGUGAAAUGCGUAGAUAUAUGGAGGAACACCGGUGGCGAAAGCGGCUCUCUGGCUUGUAACUGACGCUGAGGCUCGAAGGCGUGGGGAGCAAACAGGAUUAGAUAACCUGGUAGUCCACGCCGUAAACGAUGAGUGCUAGGUGUUAGACCCUU
rnacentral:rRNA from 1 species